CGGUACUGCCAGCCCUUCAUCACAUUGGUCCAUUUGCUCAGCGGGCCCUCCAUGAUAGACGCCAUCUUAAGCACCGAAACCGGCACCGCCGCGCGCACUGCCCGUGCGGUCUGCCACGACUGGUGUGCAUAAAAGCAUCCAGGGUGUGAGGUGAAAAUGGCACGCGUUGGCUUCAGGGUCACCUUAAGGGUAACGCUCAUGGGAACAGCACACAGCUUUCCUUCUGUCUGCUCCAGCGAUGUGGAAUGCAUUCCCCUGCAGCUGUGAACAAUGGUAAAUCUCCUGUUAAAGGCGUGUUCUUUGGCUCCACUUGAGCAUAAAUAUGUAAUUUCAGCUGUACUUCAGCACAACAUCUCUCUUGACAUAGAGCUACUCAUGCUCCUCCCUAGGGAUGGACCCAGUUGUUUCCCUGGUUGUGAAGAAGAAUCAGUCCAAGGCAGUCUCUGUGUCUGAUUCCAUUGUAUUUUUUUUUUUGUAUGUUGUUUUGUAUGUUUCUAAUACACCCUCCCAUUUCACACA